rnacentral:hammerhead_ribozyme from 1 species
AUUCAACUGACUAGUCCCAAAUAGGACGAAACGCGCGUCAUGAAU